GUGUUAAGAGAGCACCAGAAUGUGAAGCUGUCGUUUAGUUUUACCUCCAACCCUAAAAUGGCAUCGCCCUUGUCUAGAUCUGAGGUGGAAACCCAUACGAAACCUGAGACACAGCUUCUUCGAACUUCCCAUUCUCAUCUAAAACAAAGCCGUUUUUUUAGAAAACAGUUGAUGCAUUUCACAAGUUCACCAUCUACGCACACACCUACACAAAGAUAGAUAGAUAAAUCUGAAUCAGUGUGAAGGAAGAGGAGAAAUAAGGUAUAACGGGACGAUGCUGACAAAAAGUUGGGUCCGCAAACUCUCAUCAGCCUCAUGAAUCAACACAAAAGAAAUGGGACGGAAAUAGAAGCCUUUCCGAAGUGGAUGCGAUCUACACAAUCUGCGUGUAAUAUCACGACGUGAGAAGAAGAAGAAGCAGAAGAAGUAGAAUACAGUACUUUACGUAAAGAUCAUAACUUGAAAUGCGUUGAAUACGGCUACGAGUAUCGUGGCCAUGUAUGCGGAGGGUGAAAGUUGGGCUAGUGCACAAGCAACGCCUUCGGCGAAUGAGAAGCACCGCAGUGACGUCGCUCGAGCUUUACUGCGCAUCGAUUCACAGCUUGGCAUGUAGUGGGUUACUGUGUCAGGCGCCAAGGUUCAGAUGGCAUCGCCUGCGCCAGUAGCUACGCCAGGGACCCGACCCGCAAAUCUCCGGAUAGCGUGAUUUGUGAUAACGCCGCACCUAAUUGUAGCCAGGUUUAGCUGCAGAAUACACAUGUGGGGACAUGGCGCGGUUAUCAUUAAG
rnacentral:lncRNA from 1 species